UGUCCUUAUUUGCCAGCACGUAAUGGUGGGAACUCUAAGGAGACUGCCGGUGACAAACCGGAGGAAGGUGGGGACGACGUCAAGUCAUCAUGGCCCUUAUGACCAGGGCUACACACGUGCUACAAUGGGACGUACAGAGGGUUGCUAAGCCGCGAGGUGGUGCCAAUCCCAGAAAACGUUUCGUAGUCCGGAUCGAAGUCUGCAACUCGACUUCGUGAAGUCGGAAUCGCUAGUAAUCGCGAAUCAGCAUGUCGCGGUGAAUACGUUC
rnacentral:rRNA from 1 species